rnacentral:rRNA from 1 species
UACAGAGGUCCCAAGCGUUGUUCGGAUUCACUGGGCGUAAAGGGUGCGUAGGUGGUCGGAUAAGUCUGAUGUGAAAUCUCCGAGCUCAACUCGGAAAUGGCAUUGGAUACUAUUUGGCUGGAGGGUUGGAGGGGGGACUGGAAUACUUGGUGUAGCAGUGAAAUGCGUAGAUAUCAAGUGGAACACCAGUGGCGAAGGCGAGUCCCUGGACAACUCCUGACACUGAGGCACGAAAGCUAGGGGAGCAAACAGG